UCUAUCUUCCCGUAGCCACGCAAGUCUUCUCCUCUAAUCCCCUUCUUCCCAGCGCGGGCACCCAGCCACCGCCACUAUUUGCUCUCCUCACACCGAUGUCGGUGAAGCCACCGAGGACCGCGCCUUCCUGGCUUCCUGCGAGCUCCACCAUCGAGCGCAUCCAGCGGGCACCACAGUCGCCUAUGGGCGAGCUGACGAGCCGGCCAUCCGGCUGCUUCCGAAGCCGCGGUCGUCGACGACGAAGAGGAUCUGUAGCACCAUCUUUGCGCUCCAUCAUCGUACAAUCGGGAGGAGCGUCCCACCGCUCGUAGCUUCACCGUGCGGCCAUGCUGGAACGGACGGGCGGAGAAGUUGCAAGCCGGCUGGUGCCCGUGCUGGAACUGUCGGGCGGCGAUUUGUGCUGGAACCCGACGAUAUACUCUACUGCAACCAACCAACCAUUUUGCUGGAACCAGCAUCGGUAAUUGCUACAAUCGACCACGCGAUGUGCUGGAACCGGACGCGCCCUUGCCGUCGAGCCUUUUUUUUUGCUGGAACUAAUGUAUUUUUUGCUGGAACUACCUUUUUUUUUGCCACAAUCGACCAUUGGGAGUUCUUUCCUGCUGAGUUGUCUUGCUGCAAAUGGACGCGCCCUCGCCGCUGAGACUUUUUUUCUGGACACGACAAUGCAAGUCGUCAACCACGGCGACGCUGGUGAUGCAACCCUGGUGACCGCGGUUGGAACUGGCGGUGCCAGAGUUGCAACCAUGGUGACCACUGACGGCGGUGCAUCAUUCUCGACGGCAGCGUGACAACAGGGGGUGCGAUGGAGUCGAAGCCGCUGCACCGGCGAGGCGGAUGGCGCGCACCGAGAUGGGACUGGCCCGACCAGACGAAGGGGAGGCACUUCGUUGACUUUUUGAGGCAAGGGAGUAGGACGAAGCAAAUAGGGAGAGCAGAUCAAAGGUGCAAGUGGCACGUAUCGGACGGGCAAGGUGCGACCGGCCCAAAUUUGGGCCGGCGGACCCGCGCCUAGCACUGCCCAAAGAAGAAACUUGUAGAUAAGCUCAUUAGAGUUUGUAUCCAAAUCCUACAAUCAUAUAUGAUGUAUCCGUGGUGUAUUAAGACCAUAUUUGCUAAUGAAAUUCACACUCACGGUA